CCUACGGGAGGCAGCAGUGAGGAAUAUUGGUCAAUGGACGAGAGUCUGAACCAGCCAAGUAGCGUGAAGGAUGACUGCCCUAUGGGUUGUAAACUUCUUUUAUAAAGGAAUAAAACGAGGCACGUGUGCCUUUUUGCAUGUACUUUUUGAAUAAGGAUCGGCUAACUCCGUGCCAGCAGCCGCGGUAAUACGGAGGAUCCGAGCGUUAUCCGGAUUUAUUGGGUUUAAAGGGAGCGUAGAUGGGUUGUUAAGUCAGUUGUGAAAGGUUGCGGCUCAACCGUAAAAUUGCAAUUGAUACUGGCAGUCUUGAGUACAGUUGAGGUAGGCGGAAUUCGUGGUGUAGCGGUGAAAUGCUUAGAGAUCACGAAGAACCCCGAUUGCGAAGGCAGCUUACUAAACUGUGACUGACAUUGAUGCUCGAAAGUGUGGGUAUCAAACAGGAUUAGAUACCCUGGUAGUC
rnacentral:rRNA from 1 species